UGCCAGCCGCCGCGGUAAUACAGAGGGUGCAAGCGUUGUUCGGAAUCAUUGGGCGUAAAGCGCGCGUAGGCGGUUUUUCAAGUCGGAUGUGAAAGCCCGGGGCUCAACCCCGGAAGGGCAUCCGAAACUGAAUGACUUGAAUCUCGGAGAGGGUGGCGGAAUUCCUGGUGUAGAGGUGAAAUUCGUAGAUAUCAGGAGGAACACCCGUGGCGAAGGCGGCCACCUGGACGAUGAUUGACGCUGAGGCGCGAAAGCGUGGGGAGCAAACAGGAUUAGAUA
rnacentral:rRNA from 1 species